GACGAACGCUGGCGGCGUGCUUAACACAUGCAAGUCGAACGGAAAGGCCCUGCUUGCAGGGUACUCGAGUGGCGAACGGGUGAGUAACACGUGGGUGAUCUGCCCUGCACUUCGGGAUAAGCCUGGGAAUCUGGGUCUAAUACCGGAUAGGAGCCAUUUUUAGUGUGAUGGUUGGAAAGUUUUUUUCGGUGUAGGAUGAGCUCGCGGCCUAUCAGCUUGUUGGUGGGGUAAUGGCCUACCAAGGCGGCGACGGGUAGCCGGCCUGAGAGGGUGGACGGCCACAUUGGGACUGAGAUACGGCCCAGACUCCUACGGGAGGCAGCGGUGGGGAAUACUGCACAAUGGGCGCAAGCCUGAUGCAGCGACGCCGCGUGGGGGAUGACGGCCUUCGGGUUGUAAACUCCUUUCGCUAGGGACGAAGCUUUUUGUGACGGUACCUAGAUAAGAAGCACCGGCUAACUACGUG
rnacentral:rRNA from 1 species